GGCGUUUGCAUGGCUACUGAGCAUUACUGAUAGGACCCGAAAAGGUGGUGAACUUUGCCUGCACAGGUUGAAGUCAGGGGAAAACUCUGAUGGAGGACCGUACGGGUUAUUGAUGUGCAAAUCAUUUUUCUGAUGUAGGUAAAGGUGCGAAAGACUCAUCGAACCACCUAAUAGCUGGUUUCCUCCGAAGUUUCCCUCAGGAUAGCUGUAAUGCAUUUAGUUAAGGGGAGUAGAGAUAUGGGUAGAGGUGCAGGGAGCCUUCGGGUUCUCAACUUAUUUCCAAACUUCGAACCUCCUUGUUAGGCAUUUACCUAACUGGAAAUGCUUAAAUGAAUUAGCGUUACAAGUGGGCUCUGACCGGUAAGCGGUCAUGGCGAAAUGGGAUGAACCAUACGUCUGAAUAAGGUGCCGAAAUGUACUAUCACUGAUACCAUAAAGGGAGUCCAUGUAUUUAGACAGCAGGUCGGUGCCCCUAAAAGCAGGUAUCCGCUAAAGAGUGUGUUAAAACUCACCUGCCGAAUACUAGGGCCCCGAAAAUGAAUGGCGCAUAUAGUACUACCGAUCUCAGACAUCAGUUCUAUUGAACUGAGAGUAGGGGGAUGUGGACAUUUUUGUGAAGGUGCAAUGUGAGUUGGACUGGAAGAAUGUCUAUUACAGAUCCUAAUUGAAGUAGCGAUUAUCCAGGCUUGUAUCCUGGGGGCUGAUGAGGAGUAGGGUUUCUGGACAACUUAAACAGAUCCAGAGUUAGUCGAUCCUAAUCUCAAUAAUGGGAGAAAGGGAGUACAGUUGAUAUUCUGUAACUGACAACAGUUCGCGGCAACGCAUACUAUUUUUCUCCGCCAAUCUUAUACCGUUGGUAGGGAUCUCUUUCCUACAUGACAGUACUAAUACCCAGGGAAACUGGUCAUCAGGCGAACUGCGGCGUUCUGCUGGCAAAACAUAGCUUCGGUUAUGUCAAUGGCUAUUGGAUUGGUCCAUGAAGCGAAAAAUAGUUUACUGUGUCACUCGUACCGAUAACCGCAUCAGGUCUUCUAGGUAAGUAGCC
rnacentral:ncRNA from 2 species